GUGCCGUGCCUGGCCGUGCCAGUGCCGUGCCGUGCCGUGCCGUGCCGGGCCGCCCGUUUGGCCAUCUAUACCUCCUCCGUUCUUCGGUCGUUCUUCCUGCCCGCGUCAAGGUCGCCGCCGCUCGUCAGUCACCACCUCCCCUGAUCCCCUCAUUUCCAUCCCACCCUUGCGAUCCCGGCAGCUGAUCCUUCUUCCCUUUCUCUCUAUCCCACUUGCCGAUCGGGCGCCGUCGCCGUCGCCUUCUUCUUCCCUCUCGCGCUUUCCUCGCGGCGGUGGAGCCACCACCAAGCCGGCUGCAAUUCGCCGUGGCGCGCCUGACUCGUGGCGCGGGAACGCGGUUGCACGCCUCGAAGAGGGGAGACCCCUCUCCCGCGCGCGACGGUUCCCGAACAUCCCGGCGAAGGACCUGCUCGGUCAUCGCUGCUGCCGGAGCUGCUCAUGUUGAAUCCGAGAUCUGAAAUCUACCCCACCAUAGAGUAUCGCCCUAUCCAGCCCUCCGACCUCGAAGCUCUUGAAAAGAUUCAUCUUGCUCUCUUUCCAAUAAGGUACGAGAGGGAGUUCUUCUUGAACGUUGUCAGUGGCAAUGGUAUUGUCUCCUGGGGCGCCGUGGACACCAGCAGAUCAGAUGAUCGCAGGGAUGAGAUAAUAGGUUUUGUAACCACGAGGAUGAUUGCGGCAAAAGAUAGCGAGAUUGAGGACCUGUUCAGGUAUAACAGUUCACGCAAAGAUCUAACACUUGUGUAUAUAUUGACGUUGGGUGUGGUGGAUGGCUACAGAAACCUUGGGAUAGCUUCAUCACUGGUUCGAGAAGUGGUUAAAUAUGCAGCAAGCAUAUCAAAUUGCAGAGGUGUUUAUUUACAUGUCAUUUCAUACAACCAGCCUGCUAUCAGCUUCUAUAAGAAGAUGCUAUUUAAGCUAGUCAGAAGGCUUCCGAUGUUUUACUACAUAAGAGGACAACAUUAUGACUCAUACUUGUUUGUAUACUAUGUGAACGGUGGUCGUUCACCUUGCUCACCACUUUAUUCUACAGACAGAAGAAGCACAGAUCUUAUGAGUAUGCAAAUGUAAAAGCACAGCGGAUUAACAUUCUACAUCAUAUAGCGUGCUCCAAGUGCUUGGAAACAACAUCAGUAUUCAUUUUAUAAUUCUUGAGUUAUAGAAAUCGCCGCUCAAUUAAGAGGGAUCCGCAAUAAGUUAAGGAGAUUGUAACUUCAUUUGUUGUUGACUUCAGGGCUUUCGUGAAGAUGCUGGUUGCCAAGUUCUGGAGCAAAGAGGACCAUUGCAAUCCGAGAUGGACCAGAUGUCAGGAAUCAAACACCCUCUUGGCAACACAAAGUAAUAAACGGAUAAUCAGCGGUGAUAAUACCAGAUGUCAUGUCUAAUCUUAGUUGUGAUGACAAUUUCUCGUCUUUUACUUUCCUUUUUUUCUCUUGGAGGAGUUUAUUGAAACAACCGCUGUUGUUGUACACUUCUGAUACGGGUACAUAAGUUCUCAAAUAGUUGUAGUCACGUCACAUUCGUUGUAAAGAAGAGGGGAAAGGAGAAACUGGUAACGUUGGGAGUGUUGUGCAAUGUUGAAAUGAUCGUGUUGAAUUAACUGAAGCUGAUCUUUUUUGGUU